AUUUUUAUUUAGCUUAAUUUCUCAAAAGGAAAACGGGGGAACCAUUCUUGGGGUGAAUCGCCAAAAGCGUAGAGCAUGUUUCGGCUCGAACCCGACAGCUAACCUCGUAAGCUUCGAAACACGUUUAA
rnacentral:sRNA from 2 species